AUUAAUAGAAGAAAAAUCACAUGAACAUAUGUUGAUGAUCGGAAUAAACUUAAUUAACAAUAUUCUUUCUCUCUAUUUUUGUAGGAGAGAAAGAAAAUUGCAGAAUUACAAGAAUCAAUCCCACAGCAAAUUACAGAUGGAGAGUCACAAAUUAUCUUCCAUGAUUUCUUUAAGAGAACAUCUUGCUCCCAAACAAGAAUCUCAUAGCACAAAAUGGGAAGUUCCCAUAUGCCUGUGAAAUUAAUCAUGCACCGCAGGCAGCUCCACAUUCAGCACCGCAUCCACCACCAUAAAGGCUUCUAUCAACUUCUGAUGAUUUAUUGUCUUUAGAUACACCUUCUGCACAAGAGAAAAUUAUGGCUGAAAUUACAGAAAUGGUAAACAAACCUACCCACAAGACUAACACCAGACAACCACCGCUGAUAACUUCACCGCCACCUCCGCCCACGGUGGUUAUUGCCUCCUUCCAUUGCCUCACCAUUUCUUGUUAUUGUGUGCGUGUGGGGAGUGCAAGAGGGUUGAUAUAUAUAGUCGCUGAAAGGUCA
rnacentral:misc_RNA from 1 species